GGGCAAGUGGUGGAACUGGUAGACACGCAGCGUUCAGGGCGCUGUGAUCGCAAGAUCGUGCAGGUUCAACUCCUGUCUUGCCCA
rnacentral:tRNA from 1 species